GCUUCAGCAGCAGAUACUAAAAUUGGAACCAUACAGAGAGGAUUAGCACCCCUGCACAAGGAUGACAUGCGAAUUCAUGGUGUUCCUUACUUUCUU
rnacentral:snRNA from 1 species